AUCACUUUUGUAUCGUCUUAAAAACAAUUUUCUAUUUACUUUUUCUUUUCCAUUGUUUCAGAAAAAAAGACAAGUAAUACUAUUAAUUAUCAUGGAUGUUAUAUGUAUAUGUGUGUGUAUGUAAAAAGAUAUCAACUUCGAUACGUAGUACCAAUAUACGUGUACAUUUCUAACAGGAUACUUGGAGUUUUUUUUUUUUUUGGCGGAUCGAUUGCGUUGAAAAUCACGCGUGCGGAACGAAACACAGUUUGCUAAAAGGGGAAAGAGAAGGGUCAACCAAACCUGAUGUUUCUACGUUACUGCAACCCUUUGAUUCGCGUAUCGACUGUCUGCCACUCGUCGAAGGGUGAAACAAAUUUGUUCGACAUUUGAACAACAGCCACUAGUUUCUAUCAUCGAUCAGAUUAUUUUCGUAUUACGAGAAAUAUUACUUAUAAAUCGUUAAAUACUUACAGACAUCUUAUAUGCAUAAUUCAUUUGUAAUCGUUGAUAGAGUUUAACAACGUCAUCGAGAGAACAGGGAAUGGACUAUUCGUAAUGUCAAAGAUAAUGAUCGAUCAACCGACGAUCGAUCAUUAUCGAAGACUAUAUAACCGAGUAAACGCGAAGUCCUUUAAAAUCAUGGAAUGGGGAAGAGCAUAGAGAACGGAGAAUGUGGGAGGGAGAAGGGGAGAUGGGGGAGGAGUGAAGGGAAUGUACACGAUAAUUAAAGGACAUAGCUUCGGGCGAUUUCCACCGAAAUUGGAAGUCACGCUCGACGGAGAUGGUUAAUAAAACUUUGGUUAUAUACAUUUGUGUGUGUGUGUAUGUGAGAGUGAGUGAGUGAGAGAGAAGAAGAAGAAGAAGAAGAAGAAGAAGGAAAUGAGAAAACGUCAGAAGAGCGAAGAUACGUGUUUAACAUCGCAAGCUCAUAUACAAAAUUUCGAUAAUUGAUAUUGGUUCGACGGGUUCUCGGGGGCCUCGAGGGCAUGGGUAUACUCGCGUGACGUCGAUGGAGAAUCGGUCAGGAAACGUCGGCUAUGGGCACACGAAGAGAAACGAAGGGUGGAGGAAGGACGAAGGAAGAAGAAGAAGAAGAAGAAAAAGAGCGAGAGAGAGAGAGAGAGAGAGAGAAAAGGAAGAAGUUGAGGCCGUUACGAGACACAACACAACACACGUCAAAAUGUAUUGGAUAAUCGUACAUUGACGAUGAGAUGCAUUUUGGUCGACCUCGAGACAAGAAAUAAGCGAAGAUCCGGCCGUAUUUUUUUUUUUUUGUGCGAAGGUUAUUAUUACGAAAGGAAAAGUUAUAAAUACCUAUUUAAUUUGCACUUCUACAGAAGUAGAGUACCUUUAAUAUCUGGGAGGGAAUAAAUUUGGCCGACAUCCAGAAUAUCCACCUAUUUUUGCGAGAUGCUAUUUUGGACUCGGGCCAUCUAACACAAGAGAUAAAAAAGAAAGAAUGGAAAAAAAAAAUAAAUGAGAGAGAGAGAGAGAGAACUUCGAUAUAUUAAAAAUCCAAAACUCUAACCGAAGCCCUUACAUUCAAUUCACCCAUUUAUUCCCACCCACCUAUCCCCAAUCCCAUUUUCCCAUUAAGAUAGUUAUAAUACAGAUAUAACAGGCAGAAACUUUGCUUCUUAAGAAAACUGUCUGAGGAAGUUAUGAUUAUGAUCGAGUUUCU